UUACACACUAGUUUAAGAUCUUAGUUAUUAAGGUUAAAUAAAAAAGGUUUAUUAUUUUUUGCUUUUCAGUUUUUUCGGCGGUUUAAUUUUUUGUUAAAAUAGUUUUUAUAUUUAUUUGUAUAGAUUAUGUGUGUUCACUAGAAUAUUCAUUGUUUUGAAAUGAAUAAUAAUAAUCGCAGUGUAAACACAAGAAAUAAUAACAAAAU
rnacentral:misc_RNA from 1 species